rnacentral:lncRNA from 1 species
AGAAGUCAGUUAAAAGUCCAUAAAAUUCACAAAAGUGACCCACUUAAAAAAGUCUAUAUAUAAGUCUGUAAGUAUCAAUUGAAUACAUCCCAUAGUUUACCUAUGAACUAAGCAAGAUUAUUCCCCAUUAUAAGUAUUUUCCAUUCCUUCUUCCCCCACCUCUCACCCCUUCUCUUUCUUCUUCUUCACCAUGUUUAAGUUUUACGCAAAUACAUCCACUUUGGCUGCCAAGAAAUUGUAUACCGUGCCGCUGGCCAGGUUUUCACAAUUCUAUACGCAAAUCUGCGUCAUGGAUGGAAUCAAGAUCGAUGAAUUCGACGCAGUUCAGGAGACGGUCGACGAAUAUUUAAGGCCAAAGGGUUGAAGGAAAGAAAUGCAGCCUCUAGGCAAGUCUGAUGCUUGGCUUCCAUUAUUUACUUUCACAGUUUGUUUGUCUGUCUUUUUCUUGAUUUGUUUUUUCCAUGGUUUGGUUUGGCCAAAUGGACAGAAAUAAAUGAGGUUUAAGGACUCUUAAUAAUUAGAGAUUUUGUCCUAAUUGAGAAUAAUCAUAAGGUUACAUCUUUUUACUGUCUUUUGAUCAGCAACUUAACCAAAUUUCUUUUGGCCAUUUUCUUAUAUUUUUCUCGUAUUUUUUGGGAGUUUUUAUGCUUUUAUUUUCUAUCAUGAAGAGUGAGAGAGAAAUCGUUAUAAAACUCGAAUAUUGACUCAAAUAUUCCACUGCAAAAGCUUUAAUUAUUCGCUUAUCAAAUUGUUGAGUUUAAUAACUUCGAUAUUAUUAUUUUUGAGUAUAAUAUUUACUUCUUGGCAUCCUAGAAAAACAUUUCUCAUUUGAUUUACCGAAAGGAGGAAAUACGGCAACAACGAUGAACUUUUUCGUCGGUUUAAUGGAAAUGAAAUGUACAAGUUACUAAUUAUAGAUACAUGAGACUUGUGGUAAGGACUUUUGUCAAAAGUUUACCUACAAAAAAUAGAAGAAAUUUAGAAGGAUUUUGUCUAUAUAUCAUGAUUAUCAUUUAUCACAUGCAUCUUUUAAAAAAAAUUAUCUUUUCUCAAAGCUGAAAAAAAAAAAAAUCUGUGUUCUAGCUUAUAAUUCAUAAAAACAAAAAGUUAGAAAAAACUGAAUCUAUUUUCAUGCAAAUUUUCAAUUACUUUGAACCUCCCCCCACUUAAUCAGCAAAUUUUCAAUUACUUUGAACUUCACCCCACUUCAUAAUUUUGUGUAAAUAAUCUAAUUAAAUUAAGCAAAAAGAUAUGUUUAUAUUUAAAUUUAUUUCCAAGAAUAAUCAUAUUCAUGCAUUCAAAUUUCCUCGUAUACUUCAAUUUGUUUGACAUGUUUAAGCACUCGUCUUAGAAUCAUAAAUGUUACCAUUUCUUGGAUGGUUUUGAAUGAAAACUAAUUAAAUAUAUUUUCAUGACCGAAUGAAAAGAUUCUUUUUUUCCUAAAUUCUUCAACUCAUGUCUUAGGAUGUUAAUUUUUAGUUACCAUAUACAUAAUUCUUAUAUAUACGCAUGUAUUUAUGUAUUUAUUUGUAUCUGCUGCUAAUGAGGUUGACUUUUUUAAGAUGGAAUUCAAAAUUUUAAUAUGGCAUCAGAGUUUACAAAAUUUAAACGAGCAAUUUAAUCUGAUUAAAACUCAAAAUUAGUACAGGGAUUUUAAAAUUGGUAUGCUUAAACGAUCCACCACUUUGAGAGAGCAUGUUGGAAAUAAACUCUACAUCUACUAUUUGUUGAAAUAUAAAUCAAUGUAUAAGGUUUGAUUACUACUCUCACAAAUGCUGAUAUUUUAAGAUGAAACCCAAAUUUUAAUACGUGUGCACAUGUUCAAGUUUUGUUCAAAUACUAGAGCGUCAAGAGCGUAUUUCUACCACUUUGUUAGAAAACAAAUUUGAAAGUAUAAGAGUUUCGAAUGGGGGGCAUUAAUCCAGACCUCUAAUAUGAACACAAAUGGAAGAAAAAACUUCACCUAACAAAGAUGUAAUUAUUAAAAGUGGAAAUUACACCUACCCAUAGUUUUAAAAUGUGCAAUUCAAAAAUCAGAUUUAAAGAAUUUUUGUUCAAAAUCAGACGAUCUUCUAAAUAUUAUUAAAUUAAAUUUAAUAUACAUAAUCGCUCUUUCAUUUUCAAACCUAAUCAUUUUUCCUUAUUUUUUCUCUCCCUACCCUCUUCCUUCUCUCUCCUCUCAUUCUCUAUUUAUUUUCUCCCUCAUUUAACAAUCUCAUUGGAAGACACGCCACCAGAAGACGUCACCAAGCGGCACUACAAUGUCGCUGCGGGAUGAUGCCGCUAUAGCAAUAGCAUUGUGGGGGCGACACUGUUGGAAAAAUUAUCACACCGGAGUUUGGAGAAGAAAUCGAGAAAUGAAAAUUCAAGAAGAUGAAAAUAAUGGAAAAAACCUAAAUAAAUAUGAAGGCUCAAACACGACGUUAUAUCGCUGUACUCAAUAGAUAUUUGCCCCAUCUCGUAUAUAAUUUUGGUGGUUAAAGGGUCUUGUGGCAAAUGGUUUGUAGGAUUAAUCAAACCUUGUAGAGAAUCAAACACUUAAGCACUUGUGUGAUUCUCCAAAACUUGAAGAAUACUAGGGAAAUUUGAAUAUGGAUGAAGAAGACUUUGGUUUCUUCUUGUGGAAUGAAAGAAUGUUCAUCAUAUGUUUGUAAUAUGAUUUCUAUGUUUUUCAUUGAUCAUCCAUGGCCUAUUUAUAGGCUUCAAUCAAUGCCAUGAAUUGGUGCCAAAACCAUUUUGAAAGGUUGCAAGAAACCUUCCAAAAGCCGCCAAAAAACUAGAAACGACCUCCAACGGUCACUUGUUACUACCAUGCAGUCGCCUCUCUAGUUUCGGGUUGUGGCCAUGCAACAGCAUGGCCAUAUUGCUAUGCGGUGACAUGACAUUCAUCUUGGGCCUCCGGUUUUAGUUUUAUAUUCCAAUUUUGUUCAUUACAUUCCACACACGUGUUCAUUAAUUUUGAACAACAUAUUUUCAACAAUCCCCCACUUGUUCAAAAUUUUAAUAAACUCUCAUAUUCAAAGUAUACAAUACUCAUGCGUAAGGAUUAUAUAUCUUUCGAUUUAAAUCUAACCAUAGUGUAAUUCGAACAAAGUAUAGUCGGAAUCAAAGGUAGCGUAAAGCUUUAAACCAAUUGUUCCAUGUGACAAUACCAGUAAGAAUACACACACGAGUAUUACGUGUUCUCAAGUUCCUCAUAACUCGCUUAGCGCUAAUAUGGUCUUGUGCUCAUUCUUUUCAACAAACUUUUAAAAGAGAAACUCUAACUCUAUAUUGAGGCGGCACCACCUCGAAGUUUGUUUAGGUAAAGUUCUUCCAGUACCUUUGUUAUUUUUAGAAGUACUUGUGUUUUAGCACUGAAUUUCAGUAAGAGUUUUAAUACUCAACUCUCACUUCAGUAACAACCAGCAUUAUUUUAAUUAGGACAGGAUUAUCGCGGAUUUAUAUAAUGCUGCAACCAUCCACAUAUCGAAUACUUGUUAGUACCCUUUGAACCAGUAGAUUACCUUUUGAGUAGUGACAGGUAGGGUUGCCGUCAUUGGUGGACCUUUAUAAAUUAGGAGUUUCGACCCUAUCCUUCUCAAAAUAGAUGCCACUAAAAAUUUUAUUUAAUGGUCUAGUUAAAGGAUCUGCAAAAUUUUCUUUGGAAAUUAUUCCAUCUUUGAUAAUUUCCUUGUGACGUCGCCUCUAAGACUAAUUUCUUUACAUUUCUUGUGACAUAAUAUCUUAUCAAAAUAUAAUUAGCCAAUGAUUGAUUUAUUUGAUAGACACAACUAGUCACCACCAAGAAUUCUCUUUUUAUGAAGAUACCCAAGUUGAAUUCCUGAUUAUUAUGCACAAUGAACAAAUUAUAUCACCGAUGUUGUGCAUAUUGUAUUCACGGGCCGUAUGUAUGCAUAAAAUCGAAACACAAUUUCGACUUACCAAAUAAGGUGAAAAAAUAAUUACCGAAUCUGGAAACAUGAAUCUGGAUUCAUUAUUCUUACAUUAUCGAGAGAAAGCAUGUCUAUCUUCAAAACAAAUCUUCUUGUGAAGUUCGUCUCAUCAAAUGAUCCAACCAAGAUCUGCAUAUCAUCAACUUGAUUUUCGCCAAAGUGAUUCCAUUCUCCAUCGUGAAUAUCGUUUGAGAUUGUUGGAAAAAUUAUCACAUUGGGGUUUGGAGAAGAAAUCGAGAAAUGAAAAUUCAAGAAGAUGAAAAUAAUGGAAAAAAACCUAAAUAAAUAUAAAGGCUCAAACACAACAUUAUAUCGCUGUUCUCAAACGAUAUUUGCCCCCUCUCGUAUAUAAUUUUGGUGCUUAAAGGGUCUCGUGACAAAUGGUUUGUAGGAUUAAUCAAGUCUUGUAGAGAAUCAAACACUUAAACACUUGUGUGACUCUGCAAAACUUGAAAAACACUAGGGAAAUUUGAAUAUGGAUGAAGAAGACUUUGGUUUCUUCUUGUGGAAUGAAAGACUGUUCAACAUAUGUUUGUAAUAUGAUUUCUAUGUUUUUCAUUGAUCAUCCAUGGCCUAUUUAUAGGCCUCAAUCAAUGCCAUGAAUUGGUGCCAAAACCAUGUUGAAAGGUUGCAAGAAACCCUCCAAAAGCCACCCAAAAACUACUAAAAACGACCUCCAACGAUCACUUGUUACUACCAUGCGAUCGCAUGGAGUUCUUCAAACUGGCCUCUCCAAUUUCAGGUUGUGGCCAUGCGACCGCAUAGCCAUAUUGCUAUGCGGUCGCACGGCAUUCAUCUUGGGCCUCCAGUUUUAGUUUUAUGUUCCAAUUUUGUUCAUUCCAUUUCACACAUGUGUUUAUUGAUUUUGAACAACAUACUUUCAAUAGACACUGCUAACACUAUUAUUCGCAGCUACCUCGAACGACAGUGAGGCAGCGGUGCACCUGCAUAGAAAAUUUGGCAUCUUCUCCUUUGUAGUAGAAAAAUCUAGUAGUGGGUUUGGUGUUGGUGAUAGUAUUGUGUUGCGGGCACUAUGAUGGUGGUUUUGA